rnacentral:lncRNA from 1 species
GGCCCCUUUUCUCAGGGAUAGCCUAACAUCUGACCGCACCCUCUUUGCUUUUUAAAAAAUGCCUUUUCACUCUUUAAGAUAAAUCCUCUAUUAUACAAUCUGCCACUAAUUGUGUGUUAAGACUGUUUUUCUCUCGAAAGCUGACGCAUCCUGCUCUCAACAUGGUCUAGAAAGCAGGCUGUUACAGUACUGGAUUAAUAAAAGGGGCCUUUAUGGUUUGUGAAAGAAUAUCUCUGUGCUUAGGCAGGAAACUUUUUGAUCCACAGCAAAGCCAGACGACAUCUAGGUGUCUUUUACAAUAUGUUCUGCUUCAACCAGUGAAUUUUGUUCAAUUGGCCAGGUAAGCAAAUAUGCUUAUUUAUGCUUAUUAAUGUACUUAUUUAUAUGUCUUUUUUUUUUUUAAGAAAA